AAUGAACGCUGGCGGCGGGCCUAAUACAUGCAAGUCGAGCGAAGCGGGGACGGGUGAGUAACGCGUGGGUAACCUCUUAUAAGACUGGGAUAACUUUGGGAAACCGGAGCUAAACCGGUUAAUUAUCAAUGGAUCCGCGCUGAAAUAGCUGGUUGGUAAGGUAACGGCUUACCAAGGCAACGAUGCAUAGCCGAACUGAGAGGGUGAUCGGCCACACUGGAACUGAGACACGGUCCAGACUCCUACGGGAGGCAGCAGUAGGGAAUCUUCCGCAAUGGGCGAAAGCCUGACGGAGCAACGCCGCGUGAGUGAUGAAGGUCUUCGGAUCGUAAAACUCUGUUAUUAGGGAAGCGGUACCUAAUCAGAAAGCCACGGCUAACUACGUGCCAGCAGCCGCGGUAAUUC
rnacentral:rRNA from 1 species